UGGGGAAUAUUGGACAAUGGGCGAAAGCCUGAUCCAGCCAUGCCGCGUGUGUGAAGAAGGUCUUCGGAUUGUAAAGCACUUUAAGUUGGGAGGAAGGGUUGUAGAUUAAUACUCUGCAAUUUUGACGUUACCGACAGAAUAAGCACCGGCUAACUCUGUGCCAGCAGCCGCGGUAAUACAGAGGGUGCAAGCGUUAAUCGGAAUUACUGGGCGUAAAGCGCGCGUAGGUGGUUCGUUAAGUUGGAUGUGAAAGCCCCGGGCUCAACCUGGGGACUGCAUUCAAAACUGACGAGCUAGAGUAUGGUAGAGGGUGGUGGAAUUUCCUGUGUAGCGGUGAAAUGCGUAGAUAUAGGAAGGAACACCAGUGGCGAAGGCGACCACCUGGACUGAUACUGACACUGAGGUGCGAAAGCGUGGGGAGCAAACAG
rnacentral:rRNA from 1 species